CCUACGGGGGGCUGCAGUAGGGAAUAUUGCGCAAUGGGCGAAAGCCUGACGCAGCAACGCCGCGUGAGUGAUGAAGGCCUUCGGGUUGUAAAACUCUGUCAGAUGGGAAGAACCUUGACCGAUUUAUAAGAUCGGACAACUGACGGUACCAUCAGAGGAAGCUCCGGCUAACUCCGUGCCAGCAGCCGCGGUAAUACGGAGGGAGCUAGCGUUGUUCGGAAUUACUGGGCGUAAAGGGCGCGUAGGCGGUGGUGUAAGUCAGAUGUGAAAACCAUCGGCUUAACCGAUUGGAUUGCAUUUGAUACUGCAUCACUUGAGUUCAGUAGAGGAGAGUGGAAUUCCCAGUGUAGCGGUGGAAUGCGUAGAUAUUGGGAAGAACACCAGUGGCGAAGGCGGCUCUCUGGACUGACACUGACGCUGAGGCGCGAAAGCUAGGGGAGCGAACAGGAUUAGAUACCCUAGUAGUC
rnacentral:rRNA from 1 species